AACGAACGCUGGCGGCAGGCUUAACACAUGCAAGUCGAGCGCAUCCUUCGGGGUGAGCGGCGGACGGGUGAGUAACGCGUGGGAACGUGCCCUCUUCUACGGAAUAGCCUCGGGAAACUGAGAGUAAUGCCGUAUACGCCCGCAAGGGGAAAGAUUUAUCGGAGGAGGAUCGGCCCGCGUUGGAUUAGGUAGUUGGUGGGGUAACGGCCUACCAAGCCGACGAUCCAUAGCUGGUUUGAGAGGAUGAUCAGCCACACUGGGACUGAGACGCGGCCCAGACUCCUACGGGAGGCAGCAGUGGGGAAUCUUGGACAAUGGGGGCAACCCUGAUCCAGCCAUGCCGCGUGAUCGAUGAAGGCCUUAGGGUUGUAAAGAUCUUUCAGCUGGGAAGAUAAUGACGGUACCAGCAGAAGAAGCCCCGGCUAACUCCGUG
rnacentral:rRNA from 1 species